AGGAUGAACGCUGGCGGCGUGCUUAACACAUGCAAGUCGAACGAAGCACUUGAAACAGAUUCUUCGGAUGAAGUUUCCUGUGACUGAGUGGCGGACGGGUGAGUAACGCGUGGGUAACCUGCCUCAUACAGGGGGAUAACAGUUAGAAAUGGCUGCUAAUACCGCAUAAGACCACAGCACCGCAUGGUGCAGGGGUAAAAACUCCGGUGGUACAGGAUGGACCCGCGUCUGAUUAGCUGGUUGGUGAGGUAACGGCUCACCAAGGCGACGAUCAGUAGCCGGCUUGAGAGAGUGAACGGCCACAUUGGGACUGAGACACGGCCCAAACUCCUACGGGAGGCAGCAGUGGGGAAUAUUGCACAAUGGGGGAAACCCUGACCGAGCAACGCCGCGUGAAGGAAGAAGUAAUUCGUUAUGUAAACUUCUGUCAUAGAGGAAGAACGGUGGAUAUAGGGAAUGAUAUCCAAGUGACGGUACUCUAUAAGAAAGCCACGGCUAACUACGUGCCAGCAGCCGCGGUAAUACGUAGGUGGCGAGCGUUAUCCGGAAUUAUUGGGCGUAAAGAGGGAGCAGGCGGCACUAAGGGUCUGUGGUGAAAGAUCGAAGCUUAACUUCGGUAAGCCAUGGAAACCGUAGAGCUAGAGUGUGUGAGAGGAUCGUGGAAUUCCAUGUGUAGCGGUGAAAUGCGUAGAUAUAUGGAGGAACACCAGUGGCGAAGGCGACGAUCUGGCGCAUAACUGACGCUCAGUCCCGAAAGCGUGGGGAGCAAAUAGGAUUAGAUACCCUAGUAGUCCACGCCGUAAACGAUGAGUACUAAGUGUUGGGGGUCAAACCUCAGUGCUGCAGUUAACGCAAUAAGUACUCCGCCUGAGUAGUACGUUCGCAAGAAUGAAACUCAAAGGAAUUGACGGGGGCCCGCACAAGCGGUGGAGCAUGUGGUUUAAUUCGAAGCAACGCGAAGAACCUUACCAGGUCUUGACAUCGAUCUAAAGGCUCCAGAGAUGGAGAGAUAGCUAUAGAGAAGACAGGUGGUGCAUGGUUGUCGUCAGCUCGUGUCGUGAGAUGUUGGGUUAAGUCCCGCAACGAGCGCAACCCCUGUUGCCAGUUGCCAGCAUUAAGUUGGGGACUCUGGCGAGACUGCCGGUGACAAGCCGGAGGAAGGCGGGGAUGACGUCAAAUCAUCAUGCCCCUUAUGACCUGGGCUACACACGUGCUACAAUGGCGUAAACAGAGGGAAGCAGCCUCGUGAGAAAGAGCAAAUCCCAAAAAUAACGUCUCAGUUCGGAUUGUAGUCUGCAACUCGACUACAUGAAGC
rnacentral:rRNA from 1 species